GAUUGUUCCAAAGCUAAUGAAAAGUCCUGUCUAUGUGUAUUAUCAACUUGAUAAUUUUUAUCAGAAUCAUCGCCGAUAUGUAAGAAGUCGAAGUGAUAAACAGUUGCAAAGCAAAGCAAGUGAGAAUGAUGUAAGCAACUGUAAGCCUGAAGAUUUAGUAGAUGGAAAACCAAUUGUUCCAUGUGGGCUUGUUGCUUGGAGUUUGUUUAAUGACACUUAUAAUUUCAAAGUGGAAAACAAAGCUUUAGAGGUCAACAAAAAGGACAUUGCUUGGAGAAGUGAUAAAGAACGUAAAUUUGGUU
rnacentral:misc_RNA from 1 species